GUUUCCUUGUGAUGCUCGUUUUAACCAGGUGGCACUUGCUUAGCAGUUUAGAGGAGAAGACCUGUUCCCCUACAGCCUUCCAUGAUCAGACCUCAACUUGUGAGAAGCCUUGCCUUGCUCAUAAGUGGGAGUGAAUGCUCAUAGCUCUAGAAAUCUCCCAGGAACCAGAUAUUGAAGCUCGAAGGGCUUAGGGAGUCCAAUCUUCCUCUAAAUUGGCCAAUAGUGGAGGGGUGGAAAGAGAACACAAUGCAAACCAGACAGACCCAAGCUUGAAACUCACUUCUGCCAAGCUACUGGAGGUCAACAAACUACAGACUAUGGGCCAAAUCUGACCCACCACUGCUUUUGUAAAUAA